rnacentral:rRNA from 1 species
UUAAACUGAAGAGUUUGAUCAUGGCUCAGAUUGAACGCUGGCGGCAGGCUUAACACAUGCAAGUCGAGCGGUAACAGGGGGUGCUUGCACUCCGCUGACGAGCGGCGGACGGGUGAGUAAUGCAUAGGAAACUGCCCAGUAGUGGGGGAUAGCCCGGGGAAACCCGGAUUAAUACCGCGUACGCCCUUCGGGGGAAAGCAGGGGAUCUUCGGACCUUGCGCUAUUGGAUGUGCCUAUGUCGGAUUAGCUAGUUGGUGGGGUAAAGGCCUACCAAGGCGACGAUCCGUAGCUGGUCUGAGAGGAUGAUCAGCCACAUCGGGACUGAGACACGGCCCGAACUCC